rnacentral:lncRNA from 1 species
AUUGUUUUUCUUCUUCUUGGUUUUAGAUCGAUCGAGCCCAGAAGAAAAAUUUCCAAACCUAAAUCAUCUAAUUCAAUGUCAUUCCCACUUUAUAAUGAUUUGUAUAUAUCAAGACGGAGAUCAUGAAAUGGGCUUAUUCCCUUCCAAGUUCCUCUUCUUCUUUUAUUAAAGGACUUUCCAGGUAGAUUGAACCAAGGGGACACAUCUCCCUCGCCAGGUUUGGAGAUCUAUAAAUCCCCAAUCCAAAUGGGACGUAUUCCCAAUUUUUCGAUCGGCUACAAGAUAGUAAUUGAAAUCUUUAUCUAGCCAAUCUGGAAUUUGGUUAUCAGAUUUCUUAGUCGAAUAA